rnacentral:rRNA from 1 species
GAUGAACGCUGGCGGCGUGCCUAAUACAUGCAAGUCGAGCGAACAGAUGAGGAGCUUGCUCCUCUGACGUUAGCGGCGGACGGGUGAGUAACACGUGGAUAACCUACCUAUAAGACUGGGAUAACUUCGGGAAACCGGAGCUAAUACCGGAUAAUAUAUUGAACCGCAUGGUUCAAUAGUGAAAGACGGUUUUGCUGUCACUUAUAGAUGGAUCCGCGCCGCAUUAGCUAGUUGGUAAGGUAACGGCUUACCAAGGCAACGAUGCGUAGCCGACCUGAGAGGGUGAUAGGCCACACUGGAACUGAGACACGGUCCAGACUCCUACGGGAGGCAGCAGUAGGGAAUCUUCCGCAAUGGGCGAAAGCCUGACGGAGCAACGCCGAGUGAGUGAUGAAGGUCUUCGGAUCGUAAAACUCUGUUAUUAGGGAAGAACAAAUGUGUAAGUAACUAUGCACGUCUUGACGGUACCUAAUCAGAAAGCCACGGCUAACUACGUG